rnacentral:lncRNA from 1 species
UCACAAGCUAAGAACUUCCCCAGAAGAAACCUAUUGUUCCCAUCUCUUUCUCUCUCUCUCUCUCUCUCUCUCUCUCUCUCUCUCUCUCUCUUUUCAUUACCAACUAACAAAAUCCACAGAUGUACGUUUUUAAGGAUGGCGGAUAAGGGUUCUUGACUCCCAUAUGAGGACAUCACAAGUUAAGAACCUCCCCAGAAGAAACCUAUUGUUCACAUCUCUCUCUCUCUCUCUCUCCGGCACAUUUCAUUGCCGACUAACAAAAUCCCCUGAUGUACGUUUCUUAAAGAUGGCUUUUAAUUAGUCUUUCCUUCUACCUUCUUCAUUAUCCUUUGUCAUUUAGCAAAGUGUUCUGAUUAUCGGGAGCGUCCAUUCCCUAAUUAAACCACCUUUUAUUAAAACAUCAAACCACAUGAAAGGGGUUAAGUCAAUCCAGCGGUGUUUUUGUAAUGUACUUACAUCCUCACAUGAAAUCCUACUUUGAAAGUGUGAUAUGACGUCUACAACGUAAAAUUCAACCUUGUUACAGUAAUAACAAUAUCAUUAGGUGAUAUUAUUAACUAUAAUCUUACUAUUCUUAUGUAAUUUUGAAUUGUAAACUUUGGCAAAUUAAGGUAAUCUUACUUUCUUGUAAUUAGAAAUUGAGUGUUAAAGUCAUGUUGUAACACUAAUAAACAUGAAGGUAGAGAGUAAAAAAGUGGUGAUGAGAGAAUGGAUAAUUUCAUGAUGUCCUAGUAGCAACUUACGUCUAUUUGUAAUCAAACAUUUAUGAUAUAACAAUCAACGAUGGUAGUGUAAUAAGAAUAUCAUUCUAUAACCAUUAUAAUAUAGCUUAACAAUAAACUUUUACAAUUAUAAUAUAGUUUGAUUAAAAGGUACCAAUACUCUAUUUGUACCGUAGAAUUUCCCGUCUUCUAAAUGUAGACUAACCUAAGGUAUUGAUUAAAUACAUGGGUAAUGUUAGAGAGGCCAAAUUUUAAACUAAAUUGUGUAAAUCAAAUGAUGUGGUUGUUGAUUAUUGGAAUAUUAACUAAAUGUCAAUUAACGUGCUUAUUUUUUAUUGUUGACACAUUAUUUAGUUUGCAAAUUUAGUUUAAAAAUUAGUCUCCUUAGCAUUAUCCUAAAUACUAAUGAAAUCACCCUUAUCAUGCAAUCAACUUUAACGAUGAUAAUUGUGGAGUUAGAGAAAAAUUUACUAAGUUAAUGCUAUUAGUACUUUAAAAAGGUCAUUAUGCAUUCAACUAUAUAAAGAAUAAUGCUAGAAAGAUUAAAAUUUUAAAAUAAAUUAGCAAACCAAAUGAUAUGUAAUUAAGUACGUUAAUCAAUAUUUAAGUAAUAAUCCAAUCAUUAACAUUCACAUCAUUUAAUUUAUAAAAUUUGGUUUGAAAAUUUAAUUUUCCUAUCAUUAGCCGUAUAUAAAAACCACAGUUAAAGAAUAAUUUGUAAAAUAACAGUGCAUGAUGAUAUUUUCAGUGUGAUGUUAAUGCAUAAUAACCGCAUUUGGUGGCAAAUGGUUAAGAACGAAGAGAUAACAAGUUUCGUUGUCGGUGCUCCUGAAAUAGUGUGUGGCCUCUUUUUUUGAUGAUUUUUUGACACGUAAAAGUAUCAUGACAUAUGUCUCCAUAGUCUACAUCUCUAUCAUAUGCAAAAAUCUAUUUCUUACCUGCUCUAAGCUAAUAUUUUAGUGGGCCCCUAUUUUAUAACGCCCCAAGAAAAAAUGAUUUGUUUGUGUACUAUAUAUACGAAUUCUUUUUGUCCAGACAAAACCGUGUGAACUAUUUUUGUUAAAAAAAAACUACAAAUCAAUUCUUAUUUAAUAAUAUUUGGAGUAGGACAGACUGCUGAGGGCAGAAAGCGCGAUUCUUUGGUUAGAAGGAACCUGUUGAUCCUAGAAUUUACAAAGCUUAUGUGGUGGCAUGCAGACCAAAUUAUUAUGAGCUAAGUACGUUUUUUUUUUUUGUGAAGGCAAGCGUGCCAAUUAGCAACCAAACUCGAUCGGAUGAGUAGAAUAAAUGUCGUGAUGAAAUGUCGAAUGUGCUACUGACUUCUGCACUUGAGUGGCUACGACCAAAGAAGGUGUUGAUUGACAGCUUGGCAUCCAGUUCAACAUCCAGCUCAGCAAACAGGCUAAAGACAAGAAUGCCAUAUAAUAGUGAUGUGUAAGAAGGUGGUUAAGAAUAUAAGGAUAAGGAAGUUAGUUACAUUAGUUAAUAUGGAACGCGUCUUCGCCUUGGGUUUUGGAAACCUGAAGACAAGGUUGCCUUUUAUUGCAAAGUUCAAUAAAGUUUUUCUUUCAAUGUGCCAAACACAAAGUAACCAGGAUCACCUCACUUCGCUAGAAAGUUACUGGAAGGACCUCUUUGGGCGAAAAAAUUAAGAAGUCUUUGCCUGCCAAGACUUGGAUGGAUAAUCAAUCAACCCAAGAGGAGUGUUGUCUAGUUGUCCAAACUAAAAGUGCCCCUAUGCUACUUAAUUCUACGGUGCCAAUGCUGUUUACUUAUCCAAACUGAAGGUGUUGCCGGUUGUCAACAGUGUUACUUUUUUAUCCAAACUGAAAAUGUAUUGACGAGAGGAUUAUUAUAGUUAGUGUUUUCCUCAGGUGUGUGAGAAGGUUUUUGUUUA